AUUGAACGCUGGCGGCAUGCCUUACACAUGCAAAUCGAACGGUAACGGGCCUUCGGGUGCCGACGAGUGGCGAACGGGUGAGUAAUACAUCGGAACGUGCCCGAUCGUGGGGGAUAACGAGGCGAAAGCUUUGCUAAUACCGCAUACGAUCUACGGAUGAAAGCAGGGGACCGCAAGGCCUUGCGCGGACGGAGCGGCCGAUGGCAGAUUAGGUAGUUGGUGGGAUAAAAGCUUACCAAGCCGACGAUCUGUAGCUGGUCUGAGAGGAUGAUCAGCCACACUGGGACUGAGACACGGCCCAGACUCCUACGGGAGGCGGCAGUGGGGAAUUUUGGACAAUGGGCGCAAGCCUGAUCCAGCCAUGCCGCGUGCAGGAUGAAGGCCUUCGGGUUGUAAACUGAUUUUGUACGGAACGAAAAGCCUUCUUUUAAUACAGGAGGGUCAUGACGGUACCGGAAGAAUAAGCACCGGCUAACUACGUG
rnacentral:rRNA from 1 species